rnacentral:rRNA from 1 species
AGUGGCGGACGGGUGAGUAACGCGUGGGUAACCUGCCCUGUACAGGGGGAUAACAGUCAGAAAUGACUGCUAAUACCGCAUAAGACCCCAGCACCGCAUGGUGCGGAGGUAAAAACUGAGGUGGUACAGGAUGGGCCCGCGUCUGAUUAGCUAGUUGGCAAGGUAAAGGCUUACCAAGGCGACGAUCAGUAGCCGACCUGAGAGGGUGACCGGCCACAUUGGGACUGAGACACGGCCCAAACUCCUACGGGAGGCAGCAUG